rnacentral:rRNA from 1 species
GACGGAGGAUGCAAGUGUUAUCCGGAAUCACUGGGCGUAAAGCGUCUGUAGGUGGUCAAAUAAGUCAACUGUUAAAUCUUGAGGCUCAACCUCAAAAUCGCAGUCGAAACUAUUAGACUAGAGUAUAGUAGGGGUAAAGGGAAUUUCCAGUGGAGCGGUGAAAUGCGUAGAGAUUGGAAGGAGCACCGAUGGCGAAGGCACUUUACUGGGCUAUUACUAACACUCAGAGACGAAAGCUAGGGUAGCAAAUGGG